rnacentral:rRNA from 1 species
AUGGAAAUCACCUUUAAGAGUGUAUUGGCAUAAGCGAGCUUGACUGUGAGACCUACAAGUCGAGCAGAGACGAAAGUCGGUCAAAGUGAUCCUACGGUUCCGAGUGGAAGGGCCGUGGCUUAACGGAUAAAAGCUACCCCGGGGAUAACAGGCUAAUCACGCCCAAGAGUUCACAUCGACGGCGUGGUUUGGCACCUCGAUGUCGGCUCGUCGCAUCCUGGGGCUGAAGAAGGUCCCAAGGGUCCGUCUGUUCGCCGGUGAAAGCGGUACGCGAGCUGGGUUCAGACCGUCGUGAGACAGGUCGGUCUCUAUCCGCUGUGGGCGUAGGAAGUUUGAGAGGAGCUUUCCCUAGUACGAGAGGACCGGGAAGGACGUACCUCUGGUGUUCCGGUUGUCCCGCCUGGGGCACCGCCGGGUAGCUAUGUACGGAACGGAUAAGCGCUGAAAGCAUCUAAGUGCGAAGCCGGCCUCAAGAUGAGACUUCCCACCCGAAAGGGGUAAGGUCGCAGAGAGACUAUCUGCUUGAUAGGCCGCAAGUGUAAGUCCAGUAAUGGAUUCAGCUGAGCGGUACUAAUCGACCGAGGGCUUGACCAAAAA